UCCUAUUCCAGGCAAAACCAGUUUUGCUUGUUUUUUUGAAGUAUGCAUUUAGAGAGAGAUAUAACACAUUGGUCUUCUAAAGCAGCCAAUAAAGACCUUUGUUUAAAUUGUGUCUCAUGUAAAUUAAUCUUUGAGGAAAGCAUUCGUGAGCCUUUUAGCCAUCGGUUGCUGCUGUUUUUACAAGUGGAAACAAAGUGAACAGAUCAAAACCAGGAUAUGAUGGAGACUGCACCAAUGUUUGCUCUUAGAGGUUUCAGUACCUCAAUUGACAUUAGUAACCACAAUCACUAACACGGAAUUUUUGCCUUAAGAAAAGAAACUUUGGAACUUUGAACCAGUCAUUGCACUUGAUCCAGUAUGACUUCGUGUUAACUUGAGGGCAUCCGCAAAAGUGCUAUUUCCAAAGGAGAUUACAUUCACAAGAUCAUUGGUAUCGAAGACAAGACGAGCCUCCUGAUACAGAUCCAUGUUUUGUCACCAAGGGGAAAAACCUGCUGGAAAACAAAAUC